rnacentral:rRNA from 1 species
UAGGGAAUAUUGGACAAUGGGGGAAACCCUGAUCCAGCCAUGCCGCGUGGGUGAUGAAGGCCCUAGGGUUGUAAAGCCCUUUCGGCGGGGAAGAUAAUGACGGUACCCGCAGAAGAAGCCCCGGCUAACUUCGUGCCAGCAGCCGCGGUAAUACGAAGGGGGCUAGCGUUGCUCGGAAUCACUGGGCGUAAAGCGCACGUAGGCGGAUCUUUAAGUCGGGGGUGAAAUCCCGGAGCUCAACUCCGGAACUGCCUUCGAUACUGAGGAUCUUGAGUCCGGGAGAGGUGAGUGGAACUGCGAGUGUAGAGGUGAAAUUCGUAGAUAUUCGCAAGAACACCAGUGGCGAAGGCGGCUCACUGGCCCGGUACUGACGCUGAGGUGCGAAAGCGUGGGGAGCAAACAG